rnacentral:rRNA from 1 species
GUGCCAGCAGCCGCGGUAAUACGUAGGGUGCGAGCGUUAAUCGGAAUUACUGGGCGUAAAGCGUGCGCAGGUGGUUUUGUAAGUCAGAUGUGAAAUCCCCGGGCUUAACCUGGGAACUGCGUUUGAAACUGCAAGGCUAGAGUGUGGCAGAGGGGGGUGGAAUUCCGCGUGUAGCAGUGAAAUGCGUAGAGAUGUGGAGGAACACCGAUGGCGAAGGCAGCCCCCUGGGUCAGCACUGACGCUCAGGCACGAAAGCAUGGGGAGCAAACAGGAUUAGAUACCCUGGUAGUCCAUGCCCUAAACGAUGUCAACUAGUUGUCGGGUCUUAACGGGCUUGGUAACGUAGCUAACGCGUGAAGUUGACCGCCUGGGGAGUACGAUCGCAAGAUUAAAACUCAAAGGAAUUGACGGGGACCCGCACAAGCGGUGGAUUAUGUGGAUUAAUUCGAUGCAACGCGAAAAACCUUACCUACCCUUGACAUGUAUCGAAGCCCGCGGAGAUGUGGGUGUGCCCGAAAGGGAACGAUAACACAGGUGCUGCAUGGCUGUCGUCAGCUCGUGUCGUGAGAUGUUGGGUUAAGUCCCGCAACGAGCGCAACCCUUGUCAUUAAUUGCCAUCAUUUAGUUGGGCACUUUAAUGAGACUGCCGGUGACAAACCGGAGGAAGGUGGGGAUGACGUCAAGUCCUCAUGGCCCUUAUGGGUAGGGCUUCACACGUAAUACAAUGGCGCGUACAGAGGGUUGCCAACCCGCGAGGGGGAGCCAAUCUCAGAAAGCGUGUCGUAGUCCGGAUCGGAGUCUGCAACUCGACUCCGUGAAGUCGGAAUCGCUAGUAAUCGCGGAUCAGCAUGUCGCGGUGAAUACGUUCCCGGGUCUUGCACACACCGCCCGUC